UGAUCGAAACAUACACACACACACACACUUGCACAUCAAGUAGCUAUGGCUCUUUAAGCAUGUAUAUUGCAACAAACCAAGUCGUGUGUGUGUGUAUUAGCCCUAUCAUCGGUUUACGUUGGAUUGUUUUUGUUUUCAGAGUGAUGGAAUAAAAUAAACAAAACAGAGGGAGCAGGAAAGAGGGGAGCAAGAGAAAAUGCAUGGAAAGAGUCAAAGUGGUUUUCUAUAUACAUUUGCUUUCUCUCUCACACGUGUCCUUCCCUGAUUCGUCUUGCUUGUAUGAGGAUGGAACAAACCAACCAUGAGGAUUAAAGAGGGAUCAGAAAGCAGCAUUCCAUGAGAAAAAAAAGCAAGGAGUUACAAAAAGAUAAGACAUACUGACACAAUUGUGUUCCUUGGAAGACAAUAGCUGAUUUUUGCAAGGGGGAUUUGGAACUAGAGCAUUGUGCAACCUCUCAUGUCAAAAAAAAGAAAGAAGAUGAUAUUAGAGAGGUUGAACGACAUUCUCUGGUCCUCUUCUGGUGCCGAAAUCAUGCAAUCAAAGCAUAAUUCUCGGUUAUCUGCAAAUGAAAAUCCCAGUCUUAGGGGAGCGCUAAUUCGUCUCCAUGAGAAUGGGCAAGACAUAAUCAUUCCUCGGUUAUGUAAUUUUAAGAAUGUUGUAAAAAGUUGAUCGAAAUUGACAAGUGCUUUUUAAUUCAAAAGCAUACCAACUUCCCUUUCUACUCAAACAUUGUAUUGGUUCGUCUACACAUAAUAAACAUGAACAUGAAACAAAAA